rnacentral:rRNA from 1 species
AGUGAACGCUGGCGGCGUGCUUAACACAUGCAAGUCGAACGGUAACAGGAACUAGCUUGCUAGUUUGCUGACGAGUGGCGCACGGGUGAGUAAUAUAUAGUUAAUGUACCCCAAAGACUGGGAUAGCCACUGGAAACGGUGAUUAAUACUAGAUACACCUCUUUAAUAUAAGUUAGAGAGGGAAAUGUCUUUUCGCUUUGGGAUCAGACUAUAUCCUAUCAGUUAGUUGGUGAGGUAAUGGCUCACCAAGGCAAUGACGGGUAGCGGUUCUGAGAGGAUGAUCCGCCACACUGGUACUGAGACACGGACCAGACUCCUACGGGAGGCAGCAGUGAGGAAUAUUGCACAAUGGGGGGAACCCUGAUGCAGCAACGCCGCGUGGAGGAUGACGCAUUUCGGUGUGUAAACUCCUUUUAUAUGUCAAGAAAAUGACGGUAGCAUAUGAAUAAGCACCGGCUAACUCCGUGCCAGCAGCCGCGGUAAAG